rnacentral:rRNA from 1 species
UACGAACGCUGGCGGCAGGCUUAACACAUGCAAGUCGAACGCAUCCUUCGGGGUGAGUGGCAGACGGGUGAGUAACGCGUGGGAACGUGCCCUUCAGUUCGGGAUAACCCAGGGAAACUUGGGCUAAUACCGGAUACGUGCGAGAGCAGAAAGAUUUAUCGCUGAAGGAUCGGCCCGCGUCUGAUUAGCUAGUUGGUGGGGUAAUGGCCCACCAAGGCGACGAUCAGUAGCUGGUCUGAGAGGAUGAUCAGCCACAUUGGGGCUGAGACACGGACCAAACUCCUACGGGAGGCAGCAGUGGGGAAUAUUGGACAAUGGGCGCAAGCCUGAUCCAGCCAUGCCGCGUGAGUGAUGAAGGCCUUAGGGUUGUAAAGCUCUUUCGUCCGGGACGAUAAUGACGGUACCGGAAGAAGAAGCCCCGGCUAACUUCGUGCCAGCCGCCGCAGUAACAC